rnacentral:sRNA from 1 species
GACCUAAACCAGUGACCUCGGUCACCGGCAUGGUCUGAAAUCGUUAGGUACAGAGAACCCGUCAUUCAGGGCGUACCUAACGUUAUAGGGGGAAACUCCUAUAGGGCCGUAAGGCCU